AAUACGUUCCCGGGCCUUGUACACACCGCCCGUCAAGCCAUGGAAGUCAGGGAGAAAAACCUGAAGAUCGUAACCCUCAAGGAGCGAUUUAGGGUAAAACUGGUAACUGGGGCU
rnacentral:rRNA from 1 species